rnacentral:rRNA from 1 species
UAGUUUUUCACGUAUGCUCCUGGAGCAUCAGGCACAGAGGGUUCGAUCAUGGCUUCCAGAUUGAACGCUGGCGGGAUGCUUACACACAAAAGUCGAACGGCAGCACGGACUUCGGUCUGGUGGCGAGUGGCGAACGGGUGAGUAAUGUGAUCGGAACGUGCCCGCAGAAGGGGGAUAACUACGAAAGCGUAGCCAUUACCGCACGCCACACCCUUCGGGGGAAAGCGGGGACCUUCGCCCCUGCACUAUUAGAGCGGCCGAUAUCGGAUUAGCUAGUUGGUGGGGUAACGUCUCACCAAGGCGACGAUCCGUAGCUGUCGAGGAGGACGACCAGCCACACUGGGACUGAGACACGGCCCAGACUCCUACGGGAGGCAGCAGUGGGGAAUUUAUCAACUAAAGAAAACCUCGAUCCAGCCAUCCGGGCGUGUGCGAUGAAGGCUCCUGGUUGUGUAAACAUCUUUGGCAGGGAAAGAAACGGCAUCGAUAAUACCCCGUGCAACUGACGGUACCUGCAGAAUAAGCACCGGCUAACUACGUGCCAGCAGCCGAGGUAAUACGCAGUGCUGUUUGUUAAUCGGAAUUACUGGGCGUGAAGCGCGUGUGGAGGCGGUUCUGGAAAGAUGUGAAUCCAGAGAAAUGAAUGAACCGUAUUUUGCACCACCGAGCUAGAGUGUGUCAGAGGGAGGAAAUUCCCGCGUGUAGCAGUGAAAUGCGUAGAUAUGCGGAGGAACACCGAUGGCGAAGGCAGCCUCCUGGGAUAGCACUGACGCUCAUGCACGAAAGCGUGAGCAAACAGAUUAGAUACCUGUAGUCCACGCCCUAAACGAUGUCAACUAGCUGUUGGGGCCUUCGACUGGUAGCGCAGCUAACGCGGAAGUUGACCGCCUGGGAGUACGGUCGCAAGAUUAAAAACUCGAAAGGAAUUGACGGGGACCUUAUGUUGCGGGAUGAUGUGAUUAAUUCAGAUGCAACGCGAAAACCCAUCAAUUCGACAUGUCUGGAAUCCGAAUAGACGGGGAGUGCCGCAAGAGAACCGGGAACACAGGUGCUGCAUGGCUGUCGUCAGCUCGUGUCGGAGAUGUUGGGUUAAGUCUCCGCAACGAGCGCAACCCUUGUCAUUAGUUGCUACGAAAGGGCACUCUAAUGAGACUGCCGGUGACAAACCGGAGGAAGGUGGGGAUGAUGUCAAGUCUCAUGGCCCUUUAAGUGGGUAGCUUCACACGUCAUACAAUGGUCGUGGACAGAGGGCUGCCAACCCGCGAGGGGGAGCUAAUCCCAGAAACCCGAUCGUAGUCCGGAUCGCAGUUCGCAACUCGACUGCGUGAAGUCGGAAUCGCUAGUACCUGCGGAUCAGCAUGUCGCGUGAAUACAUUCCGGGUCUGUACACACCGCCCGUCACACCAUGGGAGUGGGAGCCACCAGAAGUAGUUAGUCUAACCGUAAGGAGGGCGAUUACCACGGUAGGAUCUACACCGCAGCGAGUCGCACCAUAUGUAG